CAGCACCUCAAGUGGUCAGGAUGAUUAUUGGGCCUAAAGCAUCCGUAGCCGGCGCUGUAAGUUUUCGGCUAAAUCUGUACGCUCAACGUACAGGCUGCCGGGAAUACUGCAGAGCUAGGGAGUGGGAGAGGUAGACGGUACUCGGUAGGAAGGGGUAAAAUCCUUUGAUCUAUUGAUGACCACCUGUGGCGAAGGCGGUCUACCAGAACACGUCCGACGGUGAGGGAUGAAAGCUGGGGGAGCAAACCGGAUUAGAUACCCGAGUAGUCC
rnacentral:rRNA from 1 species